rnacentral:rRNA from 1 species
UGGGGAAUAUUGCGCAAUGGGCGAAAGCCUGACGCAGCGACGCCUCGUGAGGGAUGAAGGUCUUCGGAUCGUAAACCUCUGUCAAGAGGGAAGAAACCUUUGGAUUCAAACAGGGUCUAAAGCUGAUGGUACCUCUAAAGGAAGCACCGGCUAACUCCGUGCCAGCAGCCGCGGUACUACGGAGGGUGCAAGCGUUAAUCGGAAUCACUGGGCGUAAAGCGCUCGUAGGCUGUUUGGUAAGUCAGACGUGAAAGCCCACGGCGUAACCGUGGAACUGCGUUUGAUACUGCCAGACGUGAGUGUCGGAGAGGGUGGCGGAAUUCCGGGUGUAGGAGUGAAAUCCGUAGAUAGCCGGAGGAACACCAGUGGCGAAGGCGGCCACCUGGACGACAACUGACGCUGAGGAGCGAAAGCGUGGGUAGCAAACA